UUUAACUCCAGGUCACGUUUAAACUUCAAAUGGCAGAAACACAAAUCCCUUCAAAACCAGAAAGAGAAGGAAUGAAAUAACUCUAGUCCAGAAAGAGGAGGCAAUUCGGAUUCUUCUGAUGAAACUGAAACCCUGAUAUUCUUUGCAAGCUCAGACUCCUGAAGGACACCCACGAAAUCUAUUUGACGCCAUAAAAGGUCAAAAUGAACACGAGGGUAAGUCGAAGCAAAAAAGUCUUUAACAUCAACUGUUACUCUCGAAGAGUUUCAUGUACAAGACCUUCGAAACAGGAGUGUCUAACGACUAAUAAGAACAAACUCAUUGCAGAGACUCAAGCCCAAGUGAAUCACUUUAUUUGAAGUUAGUCUAUGAGACGACUU